rnacentral:SRP_RNA from 1 species
CUCGGAGAUCGCGGGCGAAGGCUUCGCCAACCUGGUCAGGGCCGGAAGGCAGCAGCCACAACGAAUUCCCUUUGGGUCGCGGUCUCCACCUUU